CAGGAGUACUACAGGUACACACACACACACAACCAGGAGUACUACAGGUACACACACACACACAACCAGGAGUACUACAGGUACACACACACACACAACCAGGAGUACUACAGGUACACACACACACACAACCAGGAGUACUACAGGUACACACACACACACAACCAGGAGUACUACAGGUACACACACACACACAACCAGGAGUACUACAGGUACACACACACACACAACCAGGAGUACUACAGGUACACACACACACACAACCAGGAGUACUACAGGUACACACACACACACAACCAGGAGUACUACAGGUACACACACACACACAACCAGGAGUACUACAGGUACACACACACACACAACCAGGAGUACUACAGGUACACACACAACCAGGAGUACUACAGGUACACACACAACCAGGAGUACUACAGGUACACACACAACCAGGAGUACUACAGGUACACACACAACCAGGAGUACUACAGGUACACACACAACCAGGAGUACUACAGGUACACACACAACCAGGAGUACUACAGGUACACACACAACCAGGAGUACUACAGGUACACACACAACCAGGAGUACUACAGGUACACACACAACCAGGAGUACUACAGGUACACACACAACCAGGAGUACUACAGGUACACACAC